rnacentral:rRNA from 1 species
UACAGAGGUCCCAAGCGUUGUUCGGAUUCAUUGGGCGUAAAGGGUGCGUAGGUGGCGCUGUAAGUCGGGUGUGAAAUUUCGGAGCUUAACUCCGAAACUGCAUUCGAUACUGCGGUGCUCGAGGACUGGAGAGGAGACUGGAAUUCAUGGUGUAGCAGUGAAAUGCGUAGAGAUCAUGAGGAAGACCAGUGGCGAAGGCGGGUCUCGUGGGCCGGUACUGACGCUGAGGAGCGAAAGCGUGGGGAGCAAACAGG